rnacentral:rRNA from 1 species
AUUAAACGCUGGCGGCAGGCUUAACACAUGCAAGUCGAGCGGGGGAAGGUAGCUUGCUACCGGACCUAGCGGCGGACGGGUGAGUAAUGCUUAGGAAUCUGCCUAUUAGUGGGGGACAACAUCUCGAAAGGGAUGCUAAUACCGCAUACGUCCUACGGGAGAAAGCAGGGGAUCUUCGGACCUUGCGCUAAUAGAUGAGCCUAAGUCGGAUUAGCUAGUUGGUGGGGUAAAGGCCUACCAAGGCGACGAUCUGUAGCGGGUCUGAGAGGAGGAACCGCCACCAUGGGACUGUGGCACAGCCCAGACUCCUACGGGAGGCAGCAGUGGGGAAUAUUGGACAAUGGGGCGAACCCUGAUCCAGCCAUGCCGCGUGUGUGAAGAAGGCCUUAUGGUUGUAAAGCACUUUAAGCGAGGAGGAGGCUACUCUAGUUAAUACCUAGGGAUAGUGGACGUUACUCGCAGAAUAAGCACCGGCUAACUCUGUGCCAGCCGCCGCGGUAA